rnacentral:rRNA from 1 species
GACGAACGCUGGCGGCGCGCCUAACACAUGCAAGUCGAACGAGCGAGAGGAGGUUUACUUUCUCAAGCGAGUGGCGAACGGGUGAGUAACGCGUGAGGAACCUGCCUCAAAGAGGGGGACAACAGUUGGAAACGACUGCUAAUACCGCAUAAGCCCACGACCCGGCAUCGGGUAGAGGGAAAAGGAGCAAUCCGCUUUGAGAUGGCCUCGCGUCCGAUUAGCUAGUUGGUGAGGUAAUGGCCCACCAAGGCGACGAUCGGUAGCCGGACUGAGAGGUUGAACGGCCACAUUGGGACUGAGACACGGCCCAGACUCCUACGGGAGGCAGCAGUGGGGAAUAUUGCACAAUGGGGGAAACCCUGAUGCAGCGACGCCGCGUGGAGGAAGAAGGUCUUCGGACUGUAAACUCCUGUUGUUGAGGAAGAUAAUGACGGUACUCAACAAGGAAGUGACGGCUAACUACGUG